rnacentral:rRNA from 1 species
AUGGUGGAAGAUGUGCAUCCAAAGAAGAAAGGGGGCAUGGGUUUUAGAAAAUUGCACAACUUUAAUCUUGCUAUGUUAGCAAAGCAGUGUUGGCGUCUUAUCCAUAACCUUGAUUCAUUGUGUGCACAGGUACUAAGUGCAAAUUAUCCUGAUGAAAAUAUAUUAACUGUUGGCCCCAAGAAAGGUUAUUCAUAUACUUGGCAAAAUAUAGUCUCAGCGAUCCAAACUUUUAAGAGGGGAUGUUUGUGGAGAGUUGGGAAUGGCUCAAAGAUCAAUAUUUGGCAAGAUCCUUGGAUUCUGUGUAGUGUUUCAAGGAAAGUGGUCACACCCAUGGGACAAACUUUACUAUCGAAGGUGGAAGAAUUGAUCAACCCACAUAGAGGUCAAUGGGACGAGGAACUCAUAUGUUCUAUUUUUAGCCCAGUGGAUGUUAGUAGAAUUCUGCAAAUCCCUCUCCGAGUUGAUAUUGUAGAGGAAUUUGUUGCGUGGAACCACACAAGGUCAGGAUAUUUCUCAGUGCGAUCUUCACAUCAUGUGGAGUUUGAUCACCAUUAUGGUCAGCGAACAUUACUUACUGAUGGCGCCAGAAGCGUUCAAGUAAAUGAAAUUUGGAAGGAUACAUGGCGUCUAUAA